CAGAUACAACACUACCCACUGCCCCCUUUCAAAACUACGGAGCUAAGCAGGAAGAGUGCAUCACUUUAGUUCCUCAUAGGCGCAGCCCGCUGAGGGGCUAUUUUUUUCUUUGUUCCCCUCUUUGUUGUGGGAACAGAUAGCACCACGCAGGGCUGCGUAAGUGCCAAUCGCUCGACCACAGAGCGCUGUUCUGUGAGUCGAACGGACACCGUCUAAAGCAACAGAAGGGACAAGGAUCGUAGACAAGCACUCAGGCAGGAGGAGGUCGAGACAAGCAAAAGAAAAUAAGCGCAAGGACUGCUGCAGGGGCACGCAUAUUUUCUCUCUUCUCUCACUCCCGAACCCCUCUGCUGAACACAACACUUGCCACGUGCGAGGAGUGCCUUUCCAUUAUCCACUGCGCUGGCGCACUUGAAUGCAACACACAUUGCGAGGGUGAGCGACGACGCCCUUCGUUCCCUUUUCGUCCUCUCGUUCAGGCGCGCGCGCGGGUGAGCGUGUAAGGAGGUCGGGGGAGGGGCAGAUUGUCUGCGCAUCGGCGGCUGGUACAGUGGCAGAAGCAAAAACGAAAACGUGAAGAGUAGAGAAGCGGCAGCAAAGCGUUGGUGCUGUCUGUCUUCCGCAUUCUCGACGAUUUUCAGGAGGCUUUCGGUGACGUCUAUGCAAGAAGUCUUGCCUCACCGCUAAACGCUACUCACAGACGCCCCACCUCAGCUUCUCUCGUUGUCUCUGCCGUCGCUACACGUCUUUCUGCUGUUGACCUUAACACAGCAACGACAUUCUCAGCAGAGAGAAGCCUUUCACUCAUACGUGCAUCAUUGGCAGUAGCACUGCCGUGCUGCAUCUCCCUCACGCAUAUCUUUUCGCUAUUUCUGUUUGUGCACCUUUUCUUCUUUCACAGUUCCCUCCAGCUACUGCGAUUGAUCUUGUGUGUUUUUUUUUAUCCGCAUUCCACGUUUCGCCAACGUGAAUUGACGCCCCUUCCGCGAGAGACGGCGAGUUGGGGGAGGGCGAGGAGGGAGGCGUACUCCUGCCCGUGAUCUCGAGAACCUUUCGUCUUGUACUGGUGUGCCAACAACCUUCGUUCUCUCUUGUCCUUUUUAUCGCACCUUCUGUCUCCGUUGCUGUGCGGCGCAUCGGGUAAAGCAACGCCGCGUGAACGCGGGAGUCGAGACAGACACGGAAAAAGAGAGUACAGCGCCUAUACCCCGCCCCUUCGGACGCUUAUACCUCCUUAUGUUUUCUUUUCUUUCUUCGCUUUCGCUUGUUGCCUCCGCCCCCUACUGCGGAGAAGCGUCUCCCUCUUCCCGCUUUCCUCUCGUUUUGAGUGUCUGCCAUUAUUUCGAUCCGCUCACGUGCAUCAUGGCCCGACGCGCGCUUGCUGCUCUGCUGGUGGUGCUGUGCUUCCUGCUGGCGAGGAGCGAGGCUGCCCUCACCGCACCGUUUGGCGGCUGCGAAGUCGGCACAUCAGGCUAUGCGAUUCACUCCCCCGGUGAGAACGACAAGGGGGCGCAGUACUUAAUGGACAACGGCAUCGCAUUUGCUAUCCUUCCUGCUACGGUCACCAAUGGCGUUGUCACAUGGGAGAAUGGCGAGGUCGCUGCGUGGAUGCCGCCCGACUUCCAAGCUCCGUCUGACGCCCAUUACUGCCUCAUCUUGCGGAAGAACGGCGCAUGGUCCGUCGUAUCCAUGCCUUUUACGUGGAAUCACCUCUGCAUCGACGGCCGCGAAGACGGGGAAACGACAACGACGACAACUCAAAUGCCGAACACAACGACGACUUCCACCACGACCACAACGCCCGCACCGACGGCCAACCCUCACCUAUCGUCAUCAUCAUUUCAAUCAGAAGGCUCAGCCUCCAGCAGCUUUGCGUCGCCUAUCACGACGACAACUCUGGCUCCUUCUCCGACAACCUCCACCACCGCUGCGCCGCCGCCAUCUGUGCCAACGGUGUCGUCGGUUAUGCAGACAGUGAGGAGCGUUGUCUUCGCUGCAGUGCCGACGGUGAAUGUGAUGGACUUCACCUCGAAUGUGGUCUACCUUCCGGCGACGGCGACCCUUGUGGAGAGCAUGCAAGCACUGCAGGCAGCGAGCAUCGUGAUCGCGGUACGGUUUGGUGCCACAGGCCCCGUGUCCGCUCUUUUGACGGAUGCGACUGCCGCCUCCGUUUCGUUUCAUGUGCCACAUGAACUGUACAACGUCUCUGUGGUGACCUCGCAUGCGCUGUCGCUGGUUACGCUAAACACCGCCGACGUCCUAGUCGUCGGCUCGCAGCUGCGCAUAACACCGGUGCUGAUCGCACUUCAGCAGAUGUCCAUGAGCGUGGUACUGAGCGAUGAGUCCAUCCUAGAAGGCACGGAUAUCCUGGCGACGGUGCGCUUCGCGGGGGCUGGGACGGCGUUGCUGUAUACCACGGACGUCUCCAAAGUCAUCACAUCCACGCUGUCCUUCUCGAUGGUCAACAACGGCGCCGUCGGCAGUCGCUGCAAGCCGUCCACCUCGUCUAUCCCGUAUUUCAUCACCCGCUAUGACGUGCGCUUCCUCGUGCCGGGCAACUAUACGGCGCGAGUGCACGCUGGCCGAAAAAGCGUCUGCGCUACGUACAACGGCAAGAGCGUCGUCGUGGCCCCCUUAGCGAUUCAGGGCAUCGCUGCGACAACUACGGCCGCCAGUUUUCCUGCAGCAACGGCGAUCCCGAUCAGGCUGCAGGGCGGCACGACAACCGGCAUCGCGAGGGGCGCCUACGCAGCUUUCGCGUCAGCGUCGUCGGACUGCACCUCGGAGGGGGCGAAAAUCUCACUGCUUCCAGUGAACUCCUUUAACAGCAGCAGCGAUUCCUCCGCCGUGCCGGGCGCCCUCCUUGUCGCAAGCAGCGAAGUUCCCACUGGCAGCUACGUGUGCAUGCGGCGCACCUCCACCAACACAAAGUUCGCUGUCAGGUAUCACGGCAAGCCGGUCACAGUUGGCGCAGCAUCGAUGCCGCCGGCGGCCGCCGCCACAGCACCUGUGCUAACCAUCUUCAACGGCAGCUGUGGCUCUUUGAACUUACUAGAGUUUGUGCGUCCGCCUGCCAGCGAAGACGACAUAGCCGCCUACUUGUCUGCCGCUUCAAAUGUGUCAGAGGCCUACCGCGUUUUUCGCUUCGUGGCAGUCAAAGCAGGCGCCACCGCGGCGGACAAGGCGGACGCGUGUCGACGCUUCAAGCAGGAGGCAACGCGGGACGCCGCGAAUGGCGCCAUGCAGUUCUCCUUCCCGUUCUACCUGCAGCAGACGAACGGUGUGCUGUGCGCCGACGAAGAGUACGUGCGGAUCGACUACACGGUCAUCCAGCCCACGAACUGGCUGAUGUCUAUGGCUGGCGUCAGCGACUUCGCCUCCCGCAUGUUGGUACUCUCUUCUGGCCCUGAGUACGACGCAGUGCCGCUUUCAGUGCGCAGCAGCCGCCUCGCCUCUGUUGGGUCCGGCACGGCGGUGCGUAUCUCUCAAGACGGCAGCUGCGCUUUCGGCUACACUGCCCGCAUCCAGUCUUACAACACUCAGCAGUACAUCGCCGUUCCGACGGCGUCUGUGGGCGUGUACACGCUUUGCGCCGGGCUGUACAACGAGACCGGCACGUCCAUGUUUGUGUCGACAGGGUCACAGGUGGACCUGGCGUCGUACGUUCGGGGCCGACGCAAGUGGAUGCAUGAAGCAGGAAUCGAGAGGACGGAGUGGACGCCAUGCGGCAGCGCCUCCACGUGUGGCCUUCACACGCAGCAGGCGUACAUCGAGGUGUGCAACGGCGCCGUUCGGCGCAACGUGUGGCCGCAGCGGUUGGAUGGCGCCUUCGUGGGUUCCGACAGUGCCAUGGUGCUCAUGGCCGGCAACCUGUACAAGACGCAGGCGAUUGUGCUGAUGAACGACGUCUACGUUCCGGUUGCGGCUGCCUUUGCACACUGCCAGCAGUUCAGCUUGCUGCAGCUGUCCACCGACGACGGGGCAACGUACGGCCCGGCUGCCGUGGUACUCGGCAAUCACCCCCAGAUCGCGCUGAGCCCCGUCACAGAUGUCUCCGGCGUUAUAGUGGGGUUUGUGCCGUGGAACGCGAUGUGCCGCGGCGUGCACACCGGCGCGGAUGUGAUGGUGGCGCGCACGGCAGCCGGUAUCUCCGUGAUCGACAUAAGCGGGCUGCUGUUUACCAAGAGUGAGGGUUAUUAUGCCGUGUGCGUGCGCAACGGCGUCGCGUGGGCGCGUGUGACGGACACGUACAUCAAGGUUGUCAUUGGUGGCGUCACGGUGUACCAGGCCGAGGCAAUCAACACUGGAGACGCGCUGGCGAACCAGAAGAGCAUUCACCUGUACCAAACGCAGACGGCGACGUGGGGCGUGGCGGGCACCUUUUCUCCCUCCGUGAGCCUCCUCUUGAAGCUGGUCUGGAUGGACUCCACGUGCACGAUGGACGCGGCGUACACGGCAGCCCUUCGCUACAUCUCCCCCAGCAGCGCCCAUGCAACAGUCGAAGCGUCGCUGAUUGCCGCCGCGCCGGCAGGCGUCGCAUCACCGACACUGUACCCCUGCUACACGGCGAACACGUUCGGCAACACGGCAGCACCGAUGCCGUUUGAGGAGCACCGCGGACGCUCCAUCACGGUCACGCAGCUUACCCUCUCUUCGCUCUUCUAUCUCCCGUACCUAGAGCUCUCCGUCUCGGCCCCGGUCGACACACGCAUCCUCCUCACGGAGCCUCAAGAUCCUCCGAUAACGCGGGUUUCCCUGCGAGUGACGAGUAGCCAGAGCGACGUCCCCCAGUGCGGUGCUGCCGCUACGUAUGCGACAGUGCUGACCAUUGAAACAGACGACCUCGGGCGCCGCUGGAUGACGGUGCCGGCAUGGGUGCCGCAGACCUUGGGUGGCAGCGGGGCCACUAACGUGUACUUGAAGAUGUGCGCCACGGCAUCGAGUAGCGCGAACCCGGAGUUCGUCGCUGUGGAAGCAUACUUGGUGCUCAGCGCCAACGCCACCAACCUCGCCGGCAACCCCAUGUCUCUGCGGUUGACGUUUCUGCCACUCAACUCGUCCACGGACCUGCUCGACUACAAGGCUGCGCAGUACGCCCUCGUCAAAUACGCUGCAACGGAGCUCAAGGUGCCGGAGACGGUGGUGCUGGUGGCUUCCCUCGGCAACAACGCUUUUGAGCUCUUCAUCGACGAUGCGCUGCAAACCGGCGCAGCUCCGCAGUCGACGUUGACGCCAACGCAACAGCUCUACCAGACCCUCGCAAAGGGCACCAACUUGCCUCUAUUUUUGAAUGGCCGCGACAACGCCACGGCCUGGUUUGCCCUUGCCAAAGCGGAAGCCGUGCACCUGGUUGACCAAACCUCCGUAGAUGACUACCCAGCGCUCGCUCUGCCCGUGUCGGGGUCUGCAGGCAAGUCCUUCAACUACACCGGCCUGAGCAUCGCGCUCUUCUGCGUCGUCGUCGCGCCUACCACCAUCGGCUUCGUCGCCUUCUCUGUUCAGCAGACCAUCCCGACCCUCUCACACUCGCGCUUCGGCAAAAAGACGGCGGUGUGCGUGGAGACUGGCGACUCGCCACCGCCGCGCAAUCCAUGCUCGCCGAUGGACCUGGAGGCUGAUGGUGGUGCCAAGAAGGAUGAGGCCCGCGACGUCCCUUUAGUCGUGCCGAGAGCGGAGGACACCACCCAGUGCCCGCUCUACGAUUCGGACGACGAGGGGGCGACGCACGAGAUGAAGGACAUGGGCACUUCGCCACCUCUGCGCAACGACACAUUUGCCAUGGCACACCGGAAGGGCGUCUCCUCCCGGUCGUCCGUCGAGGAUGAAGAGAGGAGCUAGAGCCCGCACGGAGGCGUGUGGACGAACACCACGCCGCCACCUCAGCUGUGUGUGGAGAAGUUCUGGCGUUUUUCCUUUUACAGCUUUUCUCGGCCCAUUAUGUGAUGAAUGAUUAAUUUUGCCGAUUAAGCAAUUCACGUUUCACGUGUGUAACUGUGUGUGUGUGUGUGUUUAUAUGUGGCUGUGUGUGUGUGUGCCCGUGACGCUGUCGGUGUCGGCAGCCGUAUGGGCAUCUGUGCGUACGUGCGUGAGUUUGUGCGCGCGACAGCGUGUCGCCCACCUUCUUUCCCCCUCCUUCUCUUAUUUUCCCCCUCAUUUCUCCUUCCCACUUUCUCUUCCUCAUAUUCUUUUGGCUUGCUCGACAUUUUCUGUUUCUGCCGGCUCCUACGAGGCCGCUUUGCUCCUUGCAAAGACGUGCUUAAGCUGUGGAAAGGAAAAUUUGGGGGAGGAGGUUGAUGUCUAGUGAAGCCGUGCACGGACGCUGCGAGCACGUGCGUGUGAAGGGGUUCACGGUUUGCUCGGCGCGUGUGGUGAUGGUGGUGCGACGCUGACGGGUUCGUGCAUAACACAAAACGAGCACCCAAGGCAUAGAAGGCAAAAAAGCGAAUAAGUCGAUCAUGGCCCACCCAAGGCUGCACACCUGAACGGAGAAGAACUGAUGCGAGCAAAGCAACAGAUCUGGCCGCGUGUGCGUAUGUGUCUGUAGGAGUGUCAGCCAGGUGCCCGUGUGACUGCGUGUCUGCUUAGGAAUGCAUAGCAGCCAAACUGGCUUGCGGUAGAGAGGAGGUGGGAGCCCGUUCAAGCAUGAGGAUAAAAGAAAGGAAGCUUGUACACCACCCUUUUCCUCCCUACCUUUGGUACCACUCUCUCUCUUCACCUUCCGCAGCUGCAGCGCUGCACUGAAGGAUGGUGUAGGGUGACGUGCGCUCGACGCGCAUCGCACCUGCUCUUUGCUUAACGCACGGCCGUUGCGUGUGAGUGACACGAUGAGAGGAGGGGUGUCGGUGCUGGGUGCGUCAGAUGGUAUGCAGCGCCUCCAUGCUUCAUUCGUCGCCUCUUUCCUCAUCCUCGGCCCCCUCCCCCCGUUUUGCUCACCAUAUCGCUGAGGUGUGCAUCUCCUGCCUUUCUUGCCCCUGCCCCCUCCCCCCCGCUCACUCACGGUGAUGCGCGACACCUCCCUCAUGUGCGGCCGCGAUUCCCUUUUCAUCACUUCUGACGUUUCCGUCUUGCCACUCUCUUCGCUAUUCUGUGUGACACACGUUCCACAACAUCAAUAUUUUACGCGCGCACGUCGCUGCAUGCUUUGCAG
rnacentral:misc_RNA from 1 species